AAGCAGAAUCAUGGGACUGAAGAUUCAUAUUUAGUGCUCAACUAUCAUUUACCUGAGGGAAGAAGAAAGAACUGUGUAUGUAUGGGCCUUUGCUCAUAAUCUCCAGGGCUAAUGACUCAGUGGCAAGCUAUGGUCACACUGCACCAAGCACUGACCAUGAGUGCUAGUUUCCACCUGCUUUAACUGACUGUAACACAAAAGAACACACAGAAUCCAUUGACAGGUGCAGCUUUUCCCCUCAUCUCUAUCACCUACAGCAGGACUGGUGGAAACUGUUUGGUCUGCAUCUGCUCAAGUAAGUGUGACACCUGCUGAGCCAGGAGCACUGCAGGGAGGUCAGCAGGGCUGCAGUGAAGACACGAAUACAGCUGGCAGAAAAUAAGUAAACCUUCCAUGAAUGAGGAACGAGAUCACCGUUCAGUGUGUCUGCACAGAUGCAGCCAGGAGAACAAAUCCACUGCAUACACAAACAGCAUGGUAAAAAUAUUUCUAUCAGAAAGGAAUUCUAAGAAUGACUCCAGAAUUGCAGCAGUGCGAGCUUCCAAGCCCCAUUAAAUGCAACGUUAUAAUAUGUUAAAUCACUGCUGAAAGCUUUAUUUUAUUGCUGCUUCCCAGCUGUUUGUUUUGGCUUGUACAGGGGGUUAUCUCAUAGAGCUCUUCAUCGUUCAGUGACUGCAAAUGUGUAUUCAUGAGAAAGACUUUUUUCUCUUCUAGAAGGGGUAUUAAAUGGAACAGAUUUAUCUGUUGAUAUCAUCUACACCUGCAGACACACGUAUGCUCUUGCAGCUAUCCAGGUAAAUACUUCCUUAGUUUGGCAAGUAACAAAUCCAGAACAUCCCUACAGCCAGAAAGGUGAAAACAAACUUGUUGUGUCCAGCUUGAAUCCUCAUCCAUACUCAGAAAUCACCACUGUGCCCAUUGAGAAUUAACCUGCUGAUAACCCUCAGAGCCACUGUGCGCUCAGCACAGAUCUUACAUUCAUUUUUUUCUGUUUAUUUCUGCUUCCAGCAACACCAGAAGAGGGUUAAAAAUCCCUACAAAACAAUUACAUGUUAUCAUAGUUUUGUUUUUCUUAGAAUUAACUGGGAGUUUCAGUUUUGUUUGCAUGGGAAGCAAGUUGCACAGACCUGCUGUACACGUCUUGCCCUUUUAAAAUCAUCUUCUGCAUUCCUGCAUACGGUAUUUAUUCUUAGGAAUAAACAGUAACUAUUCCUGGGAAAGGCUCUGUUGUGUUGAUAGGUGCCAACCCGUUCUUAAAACCACGUAUUGACCUUCCCAAGAGUUUCACCCAAGAGCAGCAAAUGGUGCCAUUCCGGAG
ensembl:lncRNA